GCUCUCCAAGUCUCGGCUUCUUCGCUACUCCAAGACCAACCCUUCUAGAAGACGAGACGAUGAAAGAGUCGGCGGCGAAACUUGGUGAGAAUCGAUUUGUUAAAUAUAGGAGAGAUUACCUGCAGUUGGUCUCCAAUGUUGAUGACCAAUGCAUUAGGUUGGGGAUUGACAGCGAUCCAUUGGCCAUCCUUGAGAACUUGCAAGCCAGCCACAGUUGGGUCCGGGAGAAGGAUGGUAAGGGCAUUAGGAUCUGUGUGGGCUUGCAAGCCAUAAGUCAGCUCCGGUUCUGGGCACUUGGGGUAGUGGUUGAUCGCCAUGUGCUGCUCUUGUUCCCCCAGCACCUUCACCAAGUAAUCCUCCUCCAGCUCCAGGCUCAAAGAUAUUGCUCGGAGGAGCCUCAUCCCCAGUUGGCGGACUUCACUACAGUCCUGUGGUUCAAUCCAAGUCAAAAGUUAUGACCUCUUAAAGCUUCCACCGAUCUUGCUCCGAUUAUGCUCUGAUCCUGUUCCGAUCCUACCGAUUCUGUUCCAAUCCUACCAAUCCUGUUGCGAUCCUACUGCAAAGAGCGAUUUUGCACGAUCCUAGAUCGAUUUUGGAUUUCCGGAUAGUAGGAUCGUACGAUUCUACGAUCCGGAUUGUGAUUUUGCAAACUAUGAUUGCUACUAAAUAGUAGUCAAUGAAGCUUACUUGAACAAAGGCGGAUUGGAAGGCCAAGCGGGCACAAACUCCUCAAGUGGAUAACAAUGAAGGCGGAGGGUCAUCGGAGUAAUGCUUCGCCUUCUCCUCCGCCGGCAGCCGGAAGAACUCCAAAGCCACCUCCAUCAUCUCCCAUAGAUAGAGGAAGAGGGAGAACCUGGAAGAAGCCGUUGGAAGAGCAGGCGUGGGCAACUUGGGCUACAACGUCGAAGGAGGUGAGGUCAAUUGUAGGGAUGUUAGCAUUGGUGAUUACUUCUUCUAGGCACGGCCUUUGGGACUCCGGCCGGACGUAGCUGCUGGGGAGGGAGGCGUGGUCUGUGACAUUGGAGAGGAGCGCAGCUGCCAUGGUAAUUUAGCUGGAGCCCCUCUCCUUAUUCAACCCCGGUUGGCGGCACAGUGAAUGCAUAGCGAACUGAAACAUAUAUAGGGCUUGCCAGGGGAGGAGUGGAGGGCCAUUACAGCCUCCCCUUAAUUUUUUAGUACCAGACGGGUAGGAUAUAGACCUGCAAAUUCGCCCAAAAAUGCCUGACAUAAUCGCUGUGCUCAUCCAUGCUGCGGUAAUCUUGGAUGCAUCUCACCCGAGUCGACUAUUUCACAAGUUCCAUGGAGUUAUUUAUAGUUGUUUUCUGGAGUGUAUCGUCAUCCUUUGUUUUCUAGUAUCUCCAGUUUGUUCUGCAUAAAUGCAUAAUCACAGGGAUGUUUUUUUUUAUAUAUAAUUUGGCAGGCAAACCCAAUAUUGUUCACGAUUCAGUUGAUUAGCUUAUUUGUCGACUUAGUGAAUAAAGAGAUCACUAAGUCGACAAAUAAGCUAAUCAACAGAAUCUAGAGAACAGGGUUGGUUAAAUAGCAGGUUUGGUGCUCAUCUCCGUUGUCGGGCUAGUUAACAUGCACCGCUUGAGCCAGUUAGGGGCCAAGGAAGAUCCGUUGAGGCUAGCUAAGCAACCCAUUGAAAAAGGAUCUCAGAAUGCUGCCGUAAGUUGUGGGUUUAAUUUGACUGUCAAAUAGAUAAAUAAAGUUGAAUAUGUAGAAUGUAUAGACUGAACCAAAUGAGUUCCAACACGUUAGAUGUAGCAAACAUUAGUCUUUGCUAGAAGUCAACAAUUUGUGCAGAUUAGAGGAGUUGAAUAA